rnacentral:rRNA from 1 species
GACGAACGCUGGCGGCGUGCCUAAUGCAUGCAAGUCGAACGCUGCUCCUUCGGGAGCGGCGUGGCGCACGGCUGAGGAACACGUGGCUACCUGCCCCGCGGUGGGGGAUAACGGCGCGAA